GACGAACGCUGGCGGCGUGCGUAAUACAUGCAAGUUGAGCGCUGAAGGUUGGUACUUGUACCAACUGGAUGAGCAGCGAACGGGUGAGUAACGCGUGGGGAAUCUGCCUUUGAGCGGGGGACAACAUUUGGAAACGAAUGCUAAUACCGCAUAAAAACUUUAAACACAAGUUUUAAGUUUGAAAGAUGCAAUUGCAUCACUCAAAGAUGAUCCCGCGUUGUAUUAGCUAGUUGGUGAGGUAAAGGCUCACCAAGGCGAUGAUACAUAGCCGACCUGAGAGGGUGAUCGGCCACAUUGGGAAUGGGCCACGGCCCAAACUCCUACGGGAGGCAGCAGUAGGGAAUCUUCGGCAAUGGACGAAAGUCUGACCGAGCAACGCCGCGUGAGUGAAGAAGGUUUUCGGAUCGUAAAACUCUGUUGGUAGAGAAGAACGUUGGUGAGAGUGGAAAGCUCAUCAAGUGACGGUAACUACCCAGAAAGGGACGGCUAACUACGUG
rnacentral:rRNA from 1 species